AAAUUUCAAAGUAAAAUAGAAUUUUUGGUUUUAGGCGGAAACUCUAGAUGGCGUUGAUGUGCGUCUAUGAAGAUUAUGAGUGACAAGUUACGUGUUUGUUACGUUACCCUUUUAUGUGUUUCAAAGGAUUUUUCGUCAAAUAUUUACGAUUGCUGUUUGUACGUGGUGUUGUUUCGCCUUGUCAGCUAUGCCAGCGCCUGAACCAGCAGCCUUCAUUCCUGCUAUCAAUGUACCACAAGGGAUCCUGACACUUUAAGAAGGCCACUAUUCCUUACAUGAAGAUCACCAUCCAGUUCAAUCAACAACAGAGUCUUCAUCUACUUUGUGUUGCUAAGCAUCAGCCCUCAGCAUCCCAGGUAUCCAGAUUUCCAAGUUUCUCUGAUUAGCCAACCAUCAUCCAUACCCUUCAGCUCUUCAUUGUGGCUUCUCUUCCUCUCUUCUUAGUCUGCUGAAUGCCAAAAUUGAAUAAGGUUCAUCGUCAUUGCCUUUCCAUGGUAUUUUAAUUUGGUGGAUUAUCUAGCUGCUGUUUUUCGCACCGUUACUUAGCCAGCUCACAUGGACAGGCUUUAACAACAUCUCCAUUUUUUUGGACUGCAAAUAUUCAUCUUCCUUCGUCGUCUUGGCCGUCUUUGCCUUCAUCUCCGUCUCGUCGUCUUGGCCGUCUUCGCCUUCAUCUCCGUCUCGUCGUCUUGGCCGUCUUCGCCUUCAUCUCCGUCUCGUCGUCUUGGCCGUCUUCGCCUUUGUUUCAUCGUCGUCUUCGCCUUUGUUUCAUCGCCGUCUUGGCCGUUUAUUUCUACGCCAUCACUUCGUCGCCGGCUUCUCCUUCGCCCUUCACGUAGGGAGUUCACCGUGGAUCGUCGUCCUGGUAUUGUUUUAUUUGGCAUUUUUAUGUUUAAGUUAACCCGUUGGCUGCCACCCCGUUUGCGUCCCAUUUUUUUUUAGCUUGUAGGGACCGGCCGCAAUGGCCUUCGCCGCAAGGCGCCUUAGGCAA